rnacentral:tRNA from 1 species
AAAAAGGUAAGCUAAUCAAGCUAUUAGGUUCAUACCCUGAUUAUAGAAGUAAUAGCCUUCUCCUUUUUA